rnacentral:tRNA from 1 species
GCAUGCAUGGCUGAGUGGUCGAAGGCAGCCGACUCAUAAUCGGCCUUCCCAUCGAGGACACCACAGGUUCGAAUCCUGUUGCAUGCA